ensembl:lncRNA
GUUAAUUCAUGCGUUCAUGACCUCAAUGUUAGAUUAUUGUAAUGCUUUAUUAGGUGGUUGCUCUGCACGCAAACUCCAGCUGGUCCAAAAUGCAGCAGCUAGAGUUCUUACUAGAACCAGGAAGUAUGACCAUAUUAGCCCAGUUCUCUCAACUCUGCACUGGCUCCUUAUUGAACAACAAAUACAUUUUAAAAUCUUGCUAAUUACUUAUAAAGCCCAGAAUGGUUUAGCUCCUCAAUACUUGAGCGAGCUCAUAUCACAUUAUAGUCCUUCAUGUCUGCUGCAAACUCAAAACCCUGCCCAUUUGAUAAUACCUAUCAAAAUCAACUGCAGACGGCAGAUCCUUUUCCUAUUUACACCCAAACUCUGGAACAAUCUACCUAGCAUUGUUAGGGAGGCAGAUACACUCUGUCAGUUUAAAUCUAGAUUGAAGACCCAUCUCUUUAACUUGGCAUACACAUAAUACACUAUCACAUUUCUAUAAUUCAAAUCUGUUAAAGGAUUAUUAGGCUGCAUUAAUUAGGUCAACCGGAACCGGGAACACUUUCCAUAACAUCCGCUAUAUCAUAAGAAAAAUGGCAUCUACGCUAAUGUUACACUCUUAGAAAUGAAGCAUGGGUGUAGUUUAAUUUAGAUACUAGUUUUAUGGUAAAAUUACUAAAACUAUUAUGUUUAUAUAGUAAAAAUAAGCAAGUUUCAUUGCAUUAAAUUAAUAGUAUAAUAUUUCAAGUCUACAAAAUGUCACAGAUUCAAACCAACUUAACCAGAUCAUUUUAAACCUACUAGCGGUUGAAGAUUGUCCCAAAGCGCUUUCCGUACUUGCAAUUUCGCACAUGCACGGGACGACGCAUCCAUUUUCCACCUGUCCUUGGCCAACUUUUGUAAAUCUGUUAUCAUCCAUAAAUUAUUUGGCUCUGAAUGUGGAGGUGCAAACAGUUAAACUUAAAACUCAUUCGAAGUCGAAAUCAUGUUGAUGUUUUACAUUUAAGGACUACAGAGAGCCAGGUAAAUGCAGAAUUCACCCUCAUCACCACAGUCCCCCUGUUCUCAACCUUUAUGUCCCGACUGGAUCAUUACUAUAGCCAGCUAUUGAGGGUAUUCAAAAAGGAGGGGGGAACAGCAAGACGUGAUAUCGACGUAAUCAUUGCAGAAAUGGACAUGAAUCCCAGUGUUGAAGUACGACAGACAUGCAUCCUAAAGGCGUUGUGCGUCUACUUAAAUGAAAAGCCUGACAGCCUUAUUAAGGAGUACUGGGCUACUGAGGAUAUUGGUAUUGAUGCAAUGACAGAAAUGGAGAGACUGGCUUUGGGUGUCUACAUUGUUCGACAUGAUGGAGCAGAUGCUUCAGAUCCACCUGAGGAUGUUGGCGUCGUCAUUGAAGGCUGCACAGUGCUGCGAUCUAGUGUUUAAACUUGAGCUAUCCCAAGGAGCUGCAAUACACUUUCGAAUUUCUUCAGAAAGUGUCUAUGGAAUUGGAUGGGAACAAGCUCUCCACUAAAGUGCAGGUCCUCAAAAACAAACUGCAUGAGUAAAAUCACCUGCACCAGACAAGACUGGACCUGGCUUUGGACACUUUAAUUGUGUUGACUGUUACUUUAUUUUUGGACUGCUGCUAGACAAAAUAAAGCUGUGAUCAAUGAUGGUUUGUAAUAAGCAGACAGGACUGCAGUUGGUCAUCGACUUGCUUGGGGAGGCUCAGUUCUUUGGAUUUUGGACUGCUGCUAGACAAAACAUCUAGCAAUCUAAAGACAAUGUUGGUUGUGGUAAUUGGCAUUUAAACUUCUCUUGUUUUCUGAUUUCUUCAGAAUCAAAAGAUGUGAAAUACAACAAACACUGGUUUGUUAUAAUGAAACCAUCUCAAACAAUUUAAGGUGAAGAUUGUUUUUUGUUACGUAAACAUUGCUGAUUUUCUAUUUCUCCUGUUGAUGCAAACUAUAAACCUUGUAUUUUUCAUAAAAAUGUUCUUGAUAAGUCAGCAUGUAUGUAAAGUCUGAACUUAGUAUGUUCUAACGGUGAAGUGAGAAUUUUCUGCAGCAUGAAUCCUCUUGAUUGUAAACUUCAGUUAAUUUAACCUCCCUCCAUAUAGAAAACAAGGAUUUGCCUCUUUAGUUUUUAUUUCAGUAGGCAACACCUGUUAGACAUUGUUGACGUCAAAGUUCAGAUUUACUAUAAAGCUGUAAUGGGAUUGAACAUUAUCGGAUGGUGAAAGAUUCACAGACAAGUUUUAUAUUUUAGAUUUUUUUUUUUUUUUUUAUAGUGGUCUAUUCUUUGCACAUUUUUGGAAUUCAUCCUUUUGAUGGGAAUUGAAACAUGUGAAGUGCUAAAGUCUACUGAGGCCUCAAGGUAAAAAAAAAAUAUUUGUUUAAAAAUAUAUUUUUGUUCUUGGCAGGAGUUUGGCUCUCAAAAUUUCAACUAAAAUGGAAUGGUUAAAUAUAUUAGGCUACUGCAUAUACAUGAUUAUUUAGGCUCAUUGUGUUUCUGACAGUUUAAAAAAAGAAGGAUAAAUUACUGUAUAUCUCAUUGUCCCAAUGCCAAUGAUGUAUUUUGUGAUAAAAUUUGAUGAGACACAUCAAAUGAAAUCUGGCACAUAGUGGACAUGCAGUGCAACAAUCAUUUUUCCAUAUAUUUGAAAGUCAUGUUAGUCCGAGUUGUCAAAUUGUUUUUUUUUUCCUUGAGAAAAGUUUAUAGUUAAAGGAGUUUAUUAAGCUAAAAAACAAUAAGGAUUUGCCUCUAUUUUUUAUUGCGGCAGGCAAUACAUGUUAAACAUUCUUGAUGUUGUCAAAGUUCAGAUUCACUUUUGGGACUAUAAAGCUAUAAUGGGAUUUAACAUUAUCAGAUGGUGAAAGAGAUUCACAAACAAGUUUUAUAUUUUUGAAUUAUUAUUUAUAUUGAUCUAUUUGCAUUUUAUACGUGGAUUUAUGUUGGUGUCUUCAAUUGUAUUUGUACACUUUGUAUUCGUAUGUAAGUUUUGCUUACAUAUUUGUAAUAAUUUUAUCAGUCAUGAUAAUCCCAGAUAUAGUAAUGUACCUUGAAGGUCAAAAUUACUUUUUGACUUAAUUAUAUUUCAAAACCAAAGGUGAAUAAAGUUAAUUAAAGUGACUUGAGUAGUUUUUUUUUUUUUUUUAAACCGAGCAAGUAUAAUCAACACAAAUGGAUAACAUUAGCAAAGCUUAUUUCUGUUUAAUAAAUUGAACUUAAUCAGGUAAUGUUAGUUCAAGCUAUAGUCAUUAAAUUCAAGACAAUAAUUUACAUUUAUUCAAAAUAAUUGUGUAAUGUACCAUUUAAUUAACACCGUUAUGAACGAUUUACUUAAAACAUUAUGUUACAAUUAAUUGUAUAUUACCUUUUCCAUUUAAGCAACUAAGUUUUGUGGGACCGGUUGACAUAACUUUAUUAAUUAAAUACAACAUUUCAUUUCUUAGAGUGUAGUCUCUUUCAUUCUUAUUCCGAGGUCACCAUAGCCAUACGGAUCCAGUCUGUAUCCAGAUCAGCAAGACGACCUCUACAGCCCUGAAUGUCAGGAGAGACCAUGUCAAAUAGAUGAGCACCAGAGACAGAUCCCCUGCGAAGACCAUCGGCACAAGACCAUGGGAAACGGACAAGUACUCUGCACCUGUGUUGCAGGCUGAAAUUAAACCACAACAUGCUGGUUUCGUCUGGCCAGAGGAGAACUGGCCCCCCAACUGAGCCUGGUUUCUCCCAAGGUUUUUUCUCCAUUUCUGUCACCGAUGGAGUUUUGGUUCCUUGCCACUGUCACUUUUGGCUUGCUUAGAUGGGGACGCUUGACUGAUUGCCAAGAGAGCUGAACUGGAUGAUGACAUCACUUUAGCUGGAUAAAUCACUCUGUUAUCGUCUUCUUGCAUUACUGACAAACUAUUUCCUUUUUAACACUGUAAAGCUGCUUUGACACAACCAGUAUUGUAUAAAAUGCUAUACAAAUAAAGGUGACUUGACUUGACUCUGUGGUGUACUCUG